AUGUCCAGGUCAUGAUGAGCAUCUGAUUGUCUUCAGCGACACAAAGAUCCAGUGCUGAUCUGUUUUCAAUGGCAGUUUAGCUGCAGUUUGUCAGAAGAGCGAGGAAAGGACUCUCUCUCUAAGAUGAGUCUCUCAGAGAAACAGAGUGUAAGAUCAGUUUCACAUGACAGCUCUGUGUCUGUGAAGAGUGACCGUUCAAAAGAUGACGGACCAUAUUUCAGUGAGGAAACGCCAUCAGCUGCUCAAAGGUCAGGCUCACAUGUGUCCAGCUCUUUGAAGAGUGACCAUUCAAGAGUAGAAGGGUCAGAUUUCAGUGAGGAAACA